GUCAAACUGCAGCAACCUCACUGUGAAUAGCCGAGGCAUCGCAGGUCAAAGGACCAGUCAUACAACUACAGCAUCAAGUAAGUCACUGACGAGUGGAUAGACAUCCAAGUGACUACUUGCCNNNNNNNNNNUUAGUACCCUUAUUUUCUAACAAGCACUUGCACAAUUGCUCCAGUGUCACCACACUGUGGACUCAAGACUCGUCCAUCAAAGAAAGCGAUCUGUGCACUAAUCUCAGCGGAUCGAUCACCGUCCUCGUGAUGAUCCAUCGAUCAGGAGCAAUUCAGAAAUUAAUCACCAAUGACACAUGCCUCAAAUUCUCAACUCUUGAGAAUAUGCGUCAUCAUCUUAUUAAUUUCUUGGACGAUUCAUGGACACAUAAGAACAUGAAUGAAAAGAAUGCCCAUUCUAAUAAAUUCAUUAUUAGGUCAAGUACAAAUUUA
rnacentral:lncRNA from 1 species